AACGAACGCUGGCGGCAUGCCUAACACAUGCAAGUCGAACGAGACCUUCGGGUCUAGUGGCGCACGGGUGCGUAACGCGUGGGAACCUGCCCUUAGGUUCGGAAGAACUCCCCGAAAGGGGUGCUAAUACCGGAUAAUGUCUUCGGACCAAAGAUUUAUCGACUUUGGAUGGGCCCGCGUUGGAUUAGCUAGUUGGUAGGGUAAAAGCCUACCAAGGCGACGAUCCGUAGCUGGUCUGAGAGGAUGGGCAGCCACACUGGGACUGAGACACGGCCCAGACUCCUACGGGAGGCAGCAGUGGGGGAUAUUGGACAAUGGGCGAAGGGCUGAUCCAGCAAUGCCGCGUGAGUGAUGAAGGCCUUAGGGUUGUAAAGCUAUUUUACCCGUGAUGAUAAUGACGGUACCGGGAGAAUAAGCUCCGGCUAACUCCGUG
rnacentral:rRNA from 1 species